AUUGAACGCUGGCGGCAGGCCUAACACAUGCAAGUCGAGCGGAUGAAGGGAGCUUGCUCCUGGAUUCAGCGGCGGACGGGUGAGUAAUGCCUAGGAAUCUGCCUGGUAGUGGGGGAUAACGUCCGGACACGGGCGCUAAUACCGCAUACGUCCUGAGGGAGAAAGUGGGGGAUCUUCGGACCUCACGCUAUCAGAUGAGCCUAGGUCGGAUUAGCUAGUUGGUGUGGUAAAGGCCUACCAAGGCGACGAUCCGUAACUGGUCUGAGAGGAUGAUCAGUCACACUGGAACUGAGACACGGUCCAGACUCCUACGGGAGGCAGCAGUGGGGAAUAUUGGACAAUGGGCGAAAGCCUGAUCCAACCAUGCCGCGUGUGUGAAGAAGGUCUUCGGAUUGUAAAGCACUUUAAGUUGGGAGGAAGGGCAGUAAGUUAAUACCUUGCUGUUUUGACGUUACCAACAGAAUAAGCACCGGCUAACUUCGUG
rnacentral:rRNA from 1 species